GCUAGGGACAUGGUCUCCACUCCACAGAGAAAGCAGCCAAGAAUCAGAGAGCUGGUACACUUUGAUAAAGCAAGCUGACAUUUUGGAAAAGUGCACAUGGCAAGGAACUGAGGGCAGCCUCCAGCCAAGAGCCACUGAGGAAUUGAAGCUGUCAGUCAAAUUGCUCACAGCAUCUGCUUGUGUAUGAGGUUGGAAAAAGUACCACGGCAGAAAUAACAUCUGAAGAUUUCAAAAUGUUGUCCUAAUUGGUUUAAAAAGCCUACACCAUCAGCUCUCAAGUUGGCUCUGGUUAUUCAAUUGAUAAGCCUGAACUUUGGCAUCAUGUCUUUGUAUGUUGAGAUUGAAGAGACAAAUAAGAAGACUGACUUCUAGUGGUCCAUGACCAUGGGGAAGCCCAGGUGAAUGAGACCAUCCUAGACCAUCUAGUCACCAGUUGAUCCUCCAGCUGACUGAAGGCGAGACCAUCAGAGAGAUACUGGGAUGACCAGACCACAAAAACCAC